ACCCGCUGAACUUAAGCAUAUCAGUAAGCGGAGGAAAAGAAAAUAACAAUGAUUACCUCAGUAGCGGCGAGUGAAGAGGUAUAAGCCCAAGAUGUUAAUCUGUGUUCAAGACAUAGAAUUGUAAUCUAUGGAAUAGCUCAGAAAGCUGAAGUCCGCCAUAAGUGCCUUGGAAUAGGACGCCAGAGAGGGUGAAAGCCCCGUCUUCGGGUGGGACAAAGCAAUAUGAGAUGUUUCCAAGAGUCGGGUAGUUUGGGAAUGCUGCCCUAAUUGGGAGAUAAACUUCUCCUAAGGCUAAAUAUUUAUAGGAGACCGAUAGCAUACAAGUACUGCGAAGGAAAGAUGAAAAGAACUUUGAAAAGAGGGUUAAAAGACUUGAAAUCGUUGAAAAGGAAGCAGUAAAAGAGAAAUUAUUCACUUAGGAGAAAGGUUUUAAGCUAAGUUCUGCGGUGUAAGAUACUUUACCGGGUUCUUGCCGUCGAAUGAAAAUUAACUCACUACUUCUAGGUGAUAGACAAAAUGAGUUCGAAUUUCAAGAAUAAGGCGAAAAGUUUACUCUUUAGCUCGAAGUUGAAAAUCGGACUGAGGGAUCUUAGGAUGAUUUUGUCAAAAUGGCUUUUACUGACCCGUCUUGAAACACGGACCAAGGAGUCUACCUAUUAUGCGAGUGUUCGAGUGGAAAAACUCAAACGCACACCGAAAGGGAUUUAUGAUGUGAGGCGCAAGCUGCAACAUCAACCAAUCUUGAUUCUUUGAUGAUAGACUUGAGUAAGAGCAUAAUCGGUAGGACCCGAAAGAUGGUGAACUACGGUUGAGUAGGGUGAAGCCAGGGGAAACUCUGGUGGAGGCUCGAAGCGUUACUGACGUGCAAAUCGUUCGUCAAACUUGACUGUAGGGGCGAAAGACUAAUCGAACCAUCUAGUAGCUGGUUCCCUCUGAAAUUUCUCUCAGGAUAGCAGGGACAGUUUAUGCAGUUUUAUCAGGUAAAGCUAAUGAUUAGUGGACUCGGGGUCCCGUGGGCCUUGACCAAUUCUCAAACUUUAAAUUGGUAAGAACCUGAAGUUUUCUUAAUUGAACUUUUGGGCAGAAUGCAUUGUUCUUAGUGGGCCAUUUUUGGUAAGCAGAACUGGCGAUGAGGGAUGAACCUAACGUUGAGAUAAGGUGCCCAAAUUCACGCUCAUGAGAUACCAUAAAAGGUGUUGGUUAGUUUAAACAGCCGGACUGUGGCCAUGGAAGUCGGCACCAGCUAAGGAGUGUGUAACAACUCACCAGCCGAAUUAACCAGCCCUGAAAAUUGAUGGCGCUAAGCGUGAUACCGAUACUCAACCAUCAAGGCAAAUAGAAGCUUUGAUGAGUAAGAGGGCGUGAGGACUGUGUAGAAGGCUUGGAUGUGAAUCUGGCUGGAACAGUCUUUAGUGCAGAUCUUGGUGGUAGUAGCAAAUAUUCAAAUGAGAACUUUGAAGACCGAAGUGGAGAAGGGUUCCAUGAGAACAGCACUUGAUCAUGGGUUACUCGAUCCUAAGACAUAGGGAAACUCCUUGUAAUACAUUUGUUCUUACGAACAUGUAGUCAAAAGGGAAUGAGGUUCAUAUUCCUCAAGCUGGAUGUGGUGGCUAUGUGGCAACACAAAUAAGCUCGGAGACAUCUGCAUGUGCAACUGGAAGAGUUCUCUUUUCUUCUUAACAGCCUAUCUCCAUGAAUGGAUUGUCCAGAGCUAUGGAUAUAUGGCUGGCAGAGCAGUUCACUCUCGAACUGUCAGUGAUGCUCAUGACGAUCCUUGAAAAUCCGAGUAAGAUUAUCCAAUCACACCAGGUCGUACCCAUAACCGCAUCAGGUCUCCAAGGUU
rnacentral:rRNA from 1 species